GCAAGUCGAACGAGAAAUCUUGGUUUCGGCCGGGAUAGUAAAGUGGCGCACGGGUGCGUAACGCGUGGAUAAUCUACCCUUGAAUCUGGGUUAACAUUGCGAAAGCGAUGCUAAUACCGGAUGAUAUUCAUCUUUCUGCGGUAGGAUGAAUCAAAGACGGCCGCUUCUUGAAAGCCGUUGGUUGGGGAUGAGUCCGCGUACCAUUAGCUAGUUGGUGGGGUAAUGGCCCACCAAGGCUUCGAUGGUUAGCUGGUCUGAGAGGAUGAUC
rnacentral:rRNA from 1 species